GGGCAAUGGGCGGGGCUAAAGGUUAAAAAAGGGAGCGGUUUCUUUAUUUAAAAUUUUUAAAAUUUAAAUUUUGUGUUGUAGGUUCUUUAAGCAUUGACGAGCUAAAGACCAUUUUAAAUUCUAAGCCUAGGGAAGCUUACAAUGGAACUAAUCAGAUGUUUUUAUGUCGGUUUGUUCCGAGACAGUGGAAGACUGGAGGUCAUGUGCUUGUGUCUAAUGUUUAGCAAAAUCUUAGUGAAACGAGGGCGAUAGGAAUGGGGGCUGGGGAAGACUUAGAUGGGAUAAAAAGAGGUGCGGCUGGAAGAACUAAAUCACUUUAAAACUUCUGAAAAUAAAUGUUGACCAUUGUAGUCAGAGGAGUAAAAUGUUCAGAGAAAUGGGGAUGAUUAAACAAGAACGGCAAGCCAGAUUGAGUCAGAAAAUUAUCUUCCUGCCAGAAAUUCUGUCUCCCACAACGGCAUCAGGGGGUGGUUACUUGCCCAGGGUGUAGUCAGUUUUUAAAAAGCUUAAGGGUUACCAACAUAUUCCUAAAUUUCCUGAAUUUGCUGUGAUUCCAGGAUUCAUUUAAACUCUUGAGACUGUUUUACUUUCGGCACGAAAUCAGCUCAUGGGCUUUAUAAAUGUAGAACCUACUGCAUUAUAGUUCUUCUUUUUGUUUAUUCUAAAACUGUUAGUAGCAGCCAGCGUAUUAUAUGAUUUGGAUUGGGCCAUGAACAACCGUAACGAGUGAUAAAGCACCCUUUCCUGUUCCAAUGCAAAGAACAACUAUGAAAAGAAAGUACUGGCAAAUUUAUCAUCUUGUAGUUAGUUCCUGGCCAAAGAAAAUGGUAAGGCCAUUCUUUUAAGCAGUUAAAAAAAAAUGGGGAUGGGCUCUUAAACUUUGGCAUGCUAAGGCCAUUCUUUUAAGCAGUUUAAAAAAAUGGGGAUGGGCUCCUAAACUUUGACAUACUAAAGCAGUCGUCAUUUAGGUAAAAUCUAAGUCUUAAUGGAAAUCGUGAUUUCAUAUCUACUGCAGCGUUAGCAAUCACAUAAUGAUAACUUAAAUCAGUAAAUCGUUGAACUCGGUUCUCUAAUCUUUGAAGAAUAGAAAUACUUUUUAUCCCAAAAGAUGUUUUGAGAAUUAAAUUUGCAGAGAAUUUUUUAGGUCUUUAGUUGUAAUUUAUAGAGCUAGGUCUUUUAACUUUAGUGGAAACCAUGCCCUCCAAACCCAAGUGACUGGAGUCAGAAUGUGAAAUAAGACGACAUAAAAUCCCUAUUUCUUAAGGGGCUGGGCGAAAGUAAUGGAACAAAAUGUAACGUUAUGCUAUUGUGGCAGAGAUAGCUAAUGGAAUGUUUCAUUUCUAAGUCUGUAAUUUCAGUAAUUGUUAGAGGCAGUUUUCCAUCAAUAAGUUAGAUCAAAUGGUUAAACCCAAUAUGAAUUUAUAAAAGCUUAAUUUAAUUUUGGAUUGAUUUACCAGAUGUUUAAGGUGGUUAUAAUGGGUAGUGUUGAUGGUGGUGCUUUUGGAAAAAUGAGUAUUAUAUGCCUGCUCAUCCCUUUACAUUAUCUUAUCAUAUAAACUUCUUGAUUACUCGUUAUGAUACUCUUAAAUCGUACAUUUAGAGGAAAAAUCUUAAAGUAAUCUGUAAGACCAUUUCUCCUUAAAAUGAUAUAUUAUGAGAUGAAAGGAAAGAUAAAGAUAAUUUAGAAGAGAUCCAGAAGUGGACUAAAUUUCUGGUAAGGAGGGGGCUAAAGAUGUUAAAAGACAUCUUAGGAAAAGCAUAUGAUUUAUAACUUUUAAAAGUGUCAUUUAGAUGGUUAAGGAUUUGUGUUUAAUAGUUCUCUUGAAAAUAUUGUUUUCCAAAAGUUUAAAAGCCCUAGCUACUUUUAUACAUUUGCCCUUAAAAAAUGUACAGAAUUUAUUACAUCAAACUGCUACAAAGAAAUAAGAAUUCUGAUUUUUGCAAGUAAGUUGGAAAUCAACGUAGAGGACAAAAAGUGGCAUAGCUAUAUCUAAACAAAAAAGUAUGUAAUUCAAAAGUUGGUCCACAAAGAAUUGAAAGCCUUUCAAUAACUAAUUUAAAUGAUAGAAAGCAGUAUGUAUAUGCAAGUACAUAUGCUCCCUGUAUAGAGAGUGGUUAGUAAGUAAGAUGGUAGCCUAACUCACUGGAAUAAAGAGAUCCUUGGAGUCCCAAACCUCAAGACUAGGAGUCUUAAUGCAGUUACCAGGCUGCAUGCCUGUACCCAGAGACCAUACUAGAGGCUGUGGGAAUCCUCGAUUACUGCUCUUAGAGCCCCCAACUUGACUGUUUCUUCUGUACCUGGUACUUUUUUCAAAUAUUUCAAAUUGCAGUGAUGCAUGGGAGAUACAUUUAGAAAACAUAAUGCAGGGGAAUAAAAGCAGUUAAAAACUAAGGACAGUUUCUACUGAUGAAAAUAAAAAACUGCUACAGCAACAUCUUUUCAUCAUCUGUAAACAUCAUACCCCCAAAUUUUCCUAAGUUAUUAUCUAACCUCAUCAGUAGCAGAUGGUGAAUUAUUUCAUAGAAAAUCCUGGAAUGUAAACUCUAGAUACUCAAGAAAACCUCUUUUUUUUCAAUGAAGGUAUAUUAUAUUUAAAAUAAUAAUGAUGCAUUAAACAUUAUGGGAUAAAGAAAAUACUUUCCAUAGAAAUUAAGCAAUGGCCUAGGCAAAGAGAAGUAACCCUUUAGCAUUAAUACUAUCAGUUAGACAGUGACAUUUAUUGAACAUUCCCUGUGUUGUGUAUUAAGAAUUGGACUACCUAUAUCCCAGUCAACAAUUUUUUCUGGAGUUUAGAAAUAGUUUAUGCUUAUUUUCUGUGUUUUUUAUUACCAAAUUGUUAUUAGUUUGGUGCAAAAGUAAUUGUGGUUUUUGUCACUUACAUGAUGGCAAAAACUGCAAUUACUUUUGCACCAACCUAAUAGAAAAAUACAAAAUGGAGAAUAGUUUUCAGGUUCCACAAAGCAUUUGCUGGAAAUAAAUAUCAGUUGUCUAAAUAAGUAGUACUUGAUUUAUUACUAUGAUUUUCGUAGGGUUCCAUUUCUGGAACAAUAUCAUAUUAAUAAACCCUUUCAGUGAGACCAUUGUGUGGUAUUGCCCAAAAAGGAAAAAAAAAUGUAAUGAGAAAGGACUAAGGCUAAUAAAAUUCCAUAAAUACUAUUAUAAAGAAAAGUAUAAUUUGACUGAGAUGCACAAAUGCUUACUUGAUAAUGAGGUGUUUUUAAGGAAACUUCUAUUAAAUACUCUUUUUGAGUUUAAUAUACUAUGAAACAAUGUUGUCUUUUUUUUUUUUUUAAUGAAGAUUUCCUUGACUUCCAAAGACCUUUGAUGUUCAAGCAAAAUGUAGCAAUUUGGUAAAAGUAAAGGGUGCAUUUCGAACUGAAAUAAACAUAAUGUCCUAUUAAGACCUGUAUUAUAUUUUAUGGAAUUUAACUUAGAAUGUAAGAUAUUAGCUCUGCGGUUUUACAAGCUUGUUUAAAUUCUGCAAUGUAGGGCAACAGAAAAUCCAAACAAAAUCCAUUAAUGACUAUAUUACUUCUUUAUUUUUCUUUUUAAAUAUUAUAUGUGGCCAGUCAGGAUGAAGUUUUUUUUAAACUACAUUUCCUAGUUGGACAGAUCAAGAGUAAGCUCCAGUUUUGCUAUAAUCUCGUUUUGUGAUUGCUGACAAGUCUAUUACUCCCUCAGUUCCCCUAUCACUAAAAAGAAAUAACAUUGUGGUAAAGAGGUGUUAAACUACCAAAUCCACUGAAAAAGUAUGGAAAAAGGUCACAGAUGUGGCAGCUUUGGCAUCUUCAGAAGAAAAGAUAGCAACUCAAUGUGAUACUAUUGGCAAUACCAUUUGUUAAUUGAAAAAAGAAGAAGAAAGCAGUUACUAGACAUCCAUGAUUUUAUGGAGAAGCCAUAUUCUGUCAUAGAUGAGCUAUUUACAGACAUUCAAUGGCACAUUCUUUGACAAAGUGAAUCAUCACUGUCUAGUCUUUCUUGUAUAUGAAUUUGAAGUAUUGAUUAAAGUUGUAGCAUACCUGUAAUUUUAAACUGUAAAACUCUAACACUCACAAAAGAACAUUGAAAGACUGCAAAUUUCUAGACUUGGAGGUUAUAAUUCCUUCUGUAUGUUACUACUAUCAGCUUAUAAAAUUUUAAAAAAUGUGAGUGUAGAAACUUAUAUAAACUGUAUUCACACAUGAAGGAUAGCCUAAAUGCUCCGGACUGAUAAUCUGAAGGUCAUUCUCACCUGGCUGAUUGAACUACUUUUAUUCAUAGAAGCCAAAGUUUUGAAAGGUACAGAUAGAAUCUUGACUACCUUGCAUUCGCAGUUACGUUUUAAUUGCAAAAUAACAAGCUCUUUAGUCACUGGAAACAAAACACUUUUAGCAUUUAACUUUAUAAUACUUGAAAUCCUACCUUGAAAGCAUUCAUACUCAUUAAAAGCUCAACACAUGAUCCAUGUUUACAUAAGGAUUUGGGUGUUGCUUAAAAUGAUCAUGUAAUGAGCUGCUUCUCUGCAAAUUAAUAUUCACUCCCUUCCCUCAUCCUUAAUGUGGGAUCUUUGAAGGAAAAGGAAGUGACCAAACUAAAGACAUAGGGAAAUGCAAAAUCAAGGUGAAAAGUUACCCAGAGGGUUGUUUUAAUUUUGGCCAUCAACCCCCUAGUGAAUAAUGGUAACAGUAUUGUUUUGAGACCCAUUUUGUGGCAUUUACCUAUUGUUAAACUAAAUUGACUAGAUGUAAAUAUAUUUUCAUCUUCAGAUAUUUAGAAUUUCUAUCCUUCCCCAUUGUUUCUGGAUUUUGAUACUAAUCUUUUUUCUUUGCAUAUUGUAUAUAUUUACUCAACAACUAAUCUAAUUUUAGAUUUUUAGCUUAUCCACAUUUCAUUUUUGUUUAUUUCAUUGGUAUUUCAUCAAUACAAUGGCUCUACCCUUCAAGGAAAAAAAACAUCAGCCCGUCCCACAAAAACACAUAUAUUCAAGAAAGAUAAAUUACAUUGUGAUGAUUCAAUCAUAAAGCUACUCAAGGAUGUGCUCCACCAAAAUGAGGAUAUGAAGCCAAUAUAAAGGAAGGCAAUGAAUACAAGAGACAGGCAAAGGGAGUUCCCAGGACAUAAGCAAGGGACGUCCCAGGUAGCAAGUGUGCACCUGGUGUCCAGGGCCAUCUGUCCAGGGAGAAGUCAGCUGCCAUGUCAUGAAGACGCUCGAGUAGCCCUAUGAGAUUCCCAUGUGAACAGAAAUUGAGUCCUCCUGCCAACAAUCAGCCAUAAUUUGCAAGACACGUACAUGAGCUACCUUAGAAGAGAAUCCCUGGGCCCCAGAUAAGCCUUCAGGCAUGGUGGCUCACUCCUGUAAUGCCAGCACUUUGGGAAGC
rnacentral:lncRNA from 1 species